rnacentral:rRNA from 1 species
UAGGGAAUCUUCGGCAAUGGGGGCAACCCUGACCGAGCAACGCCGCGUGAGUGAAGAAGGUUUUCGGAUCGUAAAGCUCUGUUGUAAGUCAAGAACGGGUGUGAGAGUGGAAAGUUCACACUGUGACGGUAGCUUACCAGAAAGGGACGGCUAACUACGUGCCAGCAGCCGCGGUAAUACGUAGGUCCCCGAGCGUUGUCCGGAUUUAUUGGGGC